GCAUUGGUUGUUCAGUGGUAGAAUUCUCACCCUCCAUGCAGGAGACCCAGGUUCGAUUCCUGGCCCAUGCA
rnacentral:tRNA from 1 species